rnacentral:lncRNA from 1 species
CUAAUAGAAUCUUCGCUUCUGAAGACUGAAGUGAACAAGGAAAGUGCUUUAUACCAUGGCAGAGUUAUACACCACGCCGGGAGCCCUCCUACCUUUACUACAUGGGCUCAGUGUCCACGGAGAACUCCAAGCUCUGGAAAUGUCAGGAUUAGUCAAGAAGACAGUAAGAUCUCAAGUCACCACCAGCACCAAAUGAUAGAGUCAACAAUCCCAACUCCCUUUUCAGGCCCCUUAUCUAGAAAAGGGACUAUGCCCACAGUCCCACUGGGAAUUGCUUUCAGAGGAGCUGAUGAAAGCUGUGAAGGCACUGUUGCCCAACAGUGAGGGGAGUGGAAACAACUUGGCAGAACCUCUGGGAAGGCCCAUCAGGGCAUGAGAUCAGUGACCAGAGACGAGGACCACACUCCAGGGGUAGAGGCAGAACCACAUGUCAUGCCCUGCAGACUCCAGAGCUGCAUCUCCAAGACAGAGGGAGGCCUCCAGCAGACAAGAUGCGGAUGCGGGCCUUCUAAAACUCAGGUACCCUGAAAACCACUUUUUUUCCCCUAAUGAGGCAGAAACAAAAACUUAAGGAAGUUGUAAGCCACAGUGGCCAACAGAAAAGUUAGAAUGUGUCCUGCAGAACAAGCUUCUCUGCUCUCCCAAACCAGACAUUAGACAAGAGACAGCCUGGGGUGGUGGCAGAAGCGUGGACCAGGAGCCCAGUGGACAUCUCCUCGGCUGGGACGCUCCCCAGGGACGAGGGGCUGGGCAGGUGACUCCUCUUGGGUCUUGAUUCUUCCUUGGACUAGUGACCAUCGCAACAGGAGGUUGACAAGGUUGCUGAGAGAUAACUCAUGUGAAAACAUGCUGUGAGCUAGGUAGGUGUCAUUAUCCUGACUCAUAGAUGAGAAAACCCAACUUAGCAGGCAAGAUGAUGUUCCCAGUGUCACUCAGCUAGAAAGUGACGGAGCUGGAGUUUACACUCAAUCUCUCUGGUCCUGAA